CUAAAUCUUGUUUUUAAUGUCAAAUUAUAGACUGUCAAAAAGCAAAACUAUAAAUGUUGUAUUUGCCGAUUCAAAAUGCUGUUUAUUUAGGUUUUAGGUUAAAGUUUUUUUGUAUUAGUGCAAUUUUAAAGUAAUGGUCUCCUGUAUAAGGCUAUUAAUACGUUUACAGUUAGACAAAUGUUCUGUUUUACCGUUUCCUAAAAUGUGCAGUAAGACUGUUUUGCGUGUAUAAUCCAAACGCAGUUUGUUUCAUUUAAGUGCGUCUUCCUACAUGCUAAGUAUAUGCUUCAAUUAUUUGUUUUUGUGGUCACAAAUGUUUUUUUAUUUUUUUUAUAUAUCGUUUUGGGGUUGGGUGUUAAUCAGAUUUAAUUUUAGUGUCGCAAAGACAAAGAAGUGGUGUGGCUCACGUUAUAAUGUCAAACAAACUAUCCUUUUACGUAAGCAAUUGAUUCUUAUAAGAAAUUAGCGAAUUUUUGUUCUUUAUUUGCAUGUCUUAAAAGCAUAGUGGUCAGAAUCAUGAUUAGUUUUUUUAUAAUUUUUUUUUGAUUUGUUUUAUUUAAGUUUAAUAAACCGAUUAGAAACAAAAUGAAAAAAAAAAAACAAACAAAAUAAAAUGUGUUUUGCUAUGCUAACAAUUUUUUUUUCCAGCUCAAUCAUGUAUUUUCAAAAAUACACAAAAUUUAUAGAAAUCAUUGCCUGCUUCUAAACUUGAUGUCUGUGUAAUAAAGCUCUAAACUAAUAAAAUAAUAGAGCAAUAAGACUCAGCCAAAGUAAGUAAAAUUCAGUUUAACUAUUAUGUAGACAAGUGAAAUGUUUCAAGUUACAUUUUGUUUCUUUCUAAUCGUUUUUUGUUUUAGCCCUUGCAAUUUUUUUUUCUUCUCGAAUUCUUUAUUACAUGGUUUUUGUAUGUAUUUUCACACUUGAUUUUAUCCAAGUUAUGGUAACAAUUAUAUUAUUGCAUCAGAUAUUUCAUGUUUUCAAUAGUGUUAUAGUGUGCUGUUUGCUUGUUUAACUGAUUACAAUUUUAGUUAUAAAGUAUAAAGUAAAUGGUCAAUGCAAAUAAGAAUUAUGAAUGUCACUCCAGCGAUCAUUUUGUAAGCUACUUAGUAGUUAGAUGUGAAGCUUUUUAAUAUUUUGUUUUUCUUUUCUUAUUUUCUUUUCCCUUUAAUCAUUUCAUGUUUAGUGCAAUAAAAGACAAAGCGGAGGUCUUGCUUUUAUCAAGUAAAUAAUAAACUAACAGUUUAUAAAUGAGAAUGUCUUUACAUUGUGCAACAAAAAAUCAAUUGUUUUUUUUUUUUUUUUUGAAGUUUAAUGUUUGGCUUGCUUCUUUGCCAACAUUUGUUUUAGUAGUUCGUUAAAAUAUUUGACAAAAAAGCGAUAUUUUUAUAUACUGCAGAUAUUUUAAAUAAAUGUUUUUUCUCCUUAACUUUCAAAUUAUGGAAUAAUUAGACGGGAUCGAUCUGCAAAUGUAAGUUUAAUAAAAUGUUUCAAAGUACUUUUUGUUUUAUGCUGUUUGUUUUUGGUUUGGCGCUGUCAAUAUUUCAGUUUUAGCUCUAUGUGUCUUUGGCGUGGCUCUUGGUUUUACCUCAAGCGAAGGUAACAGAUUCAAAUUCGCAUCUGUUGAUUUAAGUUUUUAAUCCUAUUGAGGUGUGAUGCUUCUUUGCUUUAAUAGUUUCAAUUUUAGCUAUAAAGUAUAAGAUAAAGACUAGCUAUAGCUAUAAAGUAUAGAUGUAAAAUAUGGAAAAGAAACAUUAAACUCACUGAUUGCCAAAAUUUGUAAGCUUCUUUUUAAUUAUAUGUAAAACGUCAAUUGAUGAUUUUUUUGUUUUGUUUUUUGUUUUGAUUUUUAGUUGUUGUUUUUUUUUUUUUUUUUCUUUUUCCACUAACAAGUUCCUAUUUAGAGCAGUUUACAAACAUAGAACAGAGGUCUAGUGCACAUAUCGUGGUUUGUAAGCUAUUCACUUGAGGUCUUUUUAAAGCAAUGCAUGAUUUUCAAUUCUUGUACUACAAGUAUUAAAAGUAAUAAUUUCAAACAAUGUUUUUCUGUUUUGUUUUUUGCUAACAAUUUUAUUAUUAGCCCGAAGAACACUCUUAUUUAAAAAACCAAGUUCAAUCAUUGUGAACAGAAUAAACGAUCAGCUUUUAGUAAAGUACUUUCUUUUACCUAAAUCUUGUUUUUAAUGUCAAAUUAUAGACUGUCAAAGAGCAAAAUUAUAAAUGUUGUAUUUGCCGAUUCAAAAUGCUGUUUAUUUAGGUUUUAGGUUAAAGUUUUUUUGUAUUAGUGCAAUUUUAAAGUAAUGGUUUCCUGUAUAAGGCUAUUAAUACGUUUACAGUUAGACGAAUGUUCUGUUUUACUGUUUCUUAAAAUGUGCAGUAAGACUGGUAAUUUUGUUUUGUUCUUAUCAUUUUAUUGUUUUUGUUUUGUUUUUUUCACAUAAAGUUUUUUGCAUUAAACAAGAAAAUAUUGAUUGGUGGUCUGUUUAGUUUUGCGUGUAUAAUCCAAACGCAGUUUGUUUCAUUUAAGUGCGUCUUCCUACAUGCUAAGUAUAUGCUUCAAUUAUUUGUUUUUGUGGUCACAAAUGUUUUUUUAUUUUUUUUAUAUAUCGUUUUGGGGUUGGGUGUUAAUCAGAUUUAAUUUUAGUGUCGCAAAGACAAAGAAGUGGUGUGGCUCACGUUAUAAUGUCAAACAAACUAUCCUUUUACGUAAGCAAUUGAUUCUUAUAAGAAAUUAGCGAAUUUUUGUUCUUUAUUUGCAUGUCUUAAAAGCAUAGUGGUCAGAAUCAUGAUUAGUUUUUUUAUAAUUUUUUUUUGAUUUGUUUUAUUUAAGUUUAAUAAACCGAUUAGAAACAAAAUGAAAAAAAAAAAACAAACAAAAUAAAAUGUGUUUUGCUAUGCUAACAAUUUUUUUUUCCAGCUCAAUCAUGUAUUUUCAAAAAUACACAAAAUUUAUAGAAAUCAUUGCCUGCUUCUAAACUUGAUGUCUGUGUAAUAAAGCUCUAAACUAAUAAAAUAAUAGAGCAAUAAGACUCAGCCAAAGUAAGUAAAAUUCAGUUUAACUAUUAUGUAGACAAGUGAAAUGUUUCAAGUUACAUUUUGUUUCUUUCUAAUCGUUUUUUGUUUUAGCCCUUGCAAUUUUUUUUUCUUCUCGAAUUCUUUAUUACAUGGUUUUUGUAUGUAUUUUCACACUUGAUUUUAUCCAAGUUAUGGUAACAAUUAUAUUAUUGCAUCAGAUAUUUCAUGUUUUCAAUAGUGUUAUAGUGUGCUGUUUGCUUGUUUAACUGAUUACAAUUUUAGUUAUAAAGUAUAAAGUAAAUGGUCAAUGCAAAUAAGAAUUAUGAAUGUCACUCCAGCGAUCAUUUUGUAAGCUACUUAGUAGUUAGAUGUGAAGCUUUUUAAUAUUUUGUUUUUCUUUUCUUAUUUUCUUUUCCCUUUAAUCAUUUCAUGUUUAGUGCAAUAAAAGACAAAGCGGAGGUCUUGCUUUUAUCAAGUAAAUAAUAAACUAACAGUUUAUAAAUGAGAAUGUCUUUACAUUGUGCAACAAAAAAUCAAUUGUUUUUUUUUUUUUUUUUGAAGUUUAAUGUUUGGCUUGCUUCUUUGCCAACAUUUGUUUUAGUAGUUCGUUAAAAUAUUUGACAAAAAAGCGAUAUUUUUAUAUACUGCAGAUAUUUUAAAUAAAUGUUUUUUCUCCUUAACUUUCAAAUUAUGGAAUAAUUAGACGGGAUCGAUCUGCAAAUGUAAGUUUAAUAAAAUGUUUCAAAGUACUUUUUGUUUUAUGCUGUUUGUUUUUGGUUUGGCGCUGUCAAUAUUUUAGUUUUAGCUCUAUGUGUCUUUGGCGUGGCUCUUGGUUUUACCUCAAGCGAAGGUAACAGAUUCAAAUUGGCAUCUGUUGAUUUAAGUUUUCAAUCCUAUUGAGGUGUGAUGCUUCUUUGCUUUAAUAGUUUCAAUUUUAGCUAUAAAGUAUAAGAUAAAGACUAGCUAUAGCUAUAAAGUAUAGAUGUAAAAUAUGGAAAAGAAACAUUAAACUCACUGAUUGCCAAAAUUUGUAAGCUUCUUUUUAAUUAUAUGUAAAACGUCAAUUGAUGAUUUUUUUGUUUUGUUUUUUGUUUUGAUUUUUAGUUGUUGUUUUUUUUUUUUUUUUCUUUUUCCACUAACGAGUUCCUAUUUAGAGCAGUUUACAAACAUAGAACAGAGGUCUAGUGCACAUAUCGUGGUUUAUAAGCUAUUCACUUGAGGUCUUUUUAAAGCAAUGCAUGAUUUUCAAUUCUUGUACUACAAGUAUUAAAAGUAAUGAUUUCAAACAAUGUUUUUCUGUUUUGUUUUUUGCUAACAAUUUUAUUAUUAGCCCGAAGAACACUCUCUUUUAAAAAACCAAGUUCAAUCAUUGUGAACAGAAUAAACGAUCAGCUUUUAGUAAAUGCAAUUUUAAAGUAAUGGUCUCCUGUAUAAGGCUAUUAAUACGUUUACAGUUAGAC